UAGCUACAUCUAGUAUAUCAAUUGAAGAGUAAGAAACAAAUUCAAAUAUCACAGAAAAUGGGAAAUAAUAUAACAAGUGAAAAUUAUUAACAGAAACUGAAAAAUAUUUCUUUUUGUUUUCCCAUGUUUUUGCAAAUUUCACAUUGUACUGUAUAAAAAAAUCCCAAUUAAUUGGACUCCAUCAAACUUGGUUGAUAUUUAUUGCAGUUGUUGUGUCCACAAGGUCCAAUAAUAAUAAUAUCAUUACAAAGGACAAUAACUCUGUAAGCUACUGUCGAAUAAUUACCAUUUUCGAACUCAUCCAAGAUCUUGUUAAUAUAUGGUAACGUACAUAGUUUCCUUAAAAUUGGUUGAUAUUUAUUGCAGGUGUUAUGUUCACAAGUUCCAAUAAUAAUAUCAUUACAAAGAGCAAUAACUCUGUAAAUUAUUGUUGAAUAGUUUCCAUUUACAAACUCAUAUGAGAUCUUGUCGAUAUAUAUCUACAUACAAAGUUUCAUCAAAGUUGGUUGAUAUUUACUCCAGUUAUCACCUUCACAAGGUCCAAUAAUGAUAUCAUACAAAGGGCAAUAACUCUGUAAGUUACAGUUGAAUUAUUCCAUUUUCGAACUCAUCCGAGAUCUUGUCAAUAUAUGGCAGCAUAAAAAGAUUCAUCAAACAUGUUGAGAUUUACUCCAGUUAUCAUGUUCACAAGGUCUAAUAAUGAUAUUAUUACAAAGAGCAAUAAUAAUAGAUCUUGACGAUAUCUGAUUGCAUACAAUGUUUCAUGAAACCUGGCUGACAUUUAAUCAAGUUAUCAUGUUCACAAGGUAAUUAUUGAUGGACAGACAGAUGGAAGGAUGGAAGCUAGACGCCAGAUGCCAAGGUAUGGCAUAAGAAACAAAAUAAUGAAAAAAAAUACUGUGUCACUUCAGACACUCAUGCAACCUAUAGAUAUCGAAAUAAAGCUGAAAUACAAAUAAGAAACAAAAGUUUGAUUAGUUUAAUCUAAUUUUAUUAAAUGGGAUCUCUAAUAAAAAACAUUAUGAUAUUUUGAAAAAAUCCAAAUGAACCAUGACAGGUCAACACAGGUGUAACAUUGAAAACGCAAUUAUAUGGUAAUACAGAUGUACAGUUAUUGUUUCAUUAAGAAUUGUGCCAUCCAAACUCUAAAAUGAUUCAGAAUUCAACCUAGACACUGUAAGGACUGUUUACAGUUAAACCAAACACUGCCAGGACAGGUUAGUGUUAUAACCAGACACUGUCAGGACAGGUUAGUGUUAUAACCAGAUACUGUCAGGACAGGUUAAUGUUAACCAGACACUGCCAGGACAGGUUAAUGUUAACCAGAUACUGUCAGGACAGGUUAGUGUUAUAACCAGAUACUGUCAGGACAGGUUAGUGUUAUAACCAGAUACUGCCAGGACAGGUUAGUGUUAUAACCAGACACUGUCAGGACAGGUUAAUGUUAACCAGACACUGCCAGGACAGGUUAGUGUUAUAACCAGAUACUGUCAGGACAGGUUAGUGUUAUAACCAGAUACUGUCAGGACAGGUUAAUGUUAACCAGACACUGUCAGGACAGGUUAGUGUUAACCAGACACUGCCAGGACAGGUUAAUGUUAACCAGAUACUGUCAGGACAGGUUAGUGUUAUAACCAGAUACUGUCAGGACAGGUUAGUGUUAUAACCAGAUACUGUCAGGACAGGUUAAUGUUAUAACCAGAUACUGUCAGGACAGGUUAGUGUUAACCAGAUACUGUCAGGACAGGUUAGUGUUAACCAAACACUGCCAGGACAGGUUAAUGUUAACCAGAUACUGUCAGGACAGGUUAGUGUUAACCAGAUACUGUCAGGACAGGUUAGUGUUAUAACCAGAUACUGUCAGGACAGGUUAGUGUUAACCAGAUACUGUCAGGACAGGUUAAUGUUAACCAGACACUGUCAGGACAGGUUAAUGUUAACCAGAUACUGUCAGGACAGGUUAGUGUUAUAACCAGACACUGUCAGGACAGGUUAGUGUUAUAACCAGAUACUGUCAGGACAGGUUAGUGUUAUAACCAGAUACUGUCAGGACAGGUUAGUGUUAACCAGAUACUGUCAGGACAGGUUAGUGUUAACCAGAUACUGUCAGGACAGGUUAGUGUUAUAACCAGAUACUGUCAGGACAGGUUAGUGUUAUAACCAGAUACUGUCAGGACAGGUUAGUGUUAUAACCAAACACUGCCAGGACAGGUUAAUGUUAUAACCAGAUACUGUCAGGACAGGUUAGUGUUAUAACCAAACACUGCCAGGACAGGUUAGUGUUAUAACCAGAUACUGUCAGGACAGGUUAGUGUUAACCAGACACUGCCAGGACAGGUUAAUGUUAUAACCAGAUACUGUCAGGACAGGUUAAUGUUAUAACCAGACACUGUCAGGACAGGUUAAUGUUAUAACCAGAUACUGUCAGGACAGGUUAGUGUUAACCAGAUACUGCCAGGACAGGUUAAUGUUAUAACCAGAUACUGUCAGGACAGGUUAAUGUUAUAACCAGACACUGUCAGGACAGGUUAAUGUUAUAACCAGACACUGUCAGGACAGGUUAGUGUUAUAACCAGACACUGUAAGGACAGGUUAAUGUUA